rnacentral:rRNA from 1 species
GAGUUUGAUCAUGGCUCAGAACGAACGCUGGCGGCAUGCCUAACACAUGCAAGUCGAACGGGAUCCUGGUUUCGGCCAGGUGAGAGUGGCGGACGGGUGAGUAACACGUGGGAAUCUGCCUUUUGGUCUGGGAUAACCGCGGGAAACUGCAGCUAAUACCGCAUGAGCCCGAGAGGGGAAAGAUUUAUCGCCAUUGGAGGGGCCCGCGUUCGAUUAGGUAGUUGGUGGGGUAAAGGCCUACCAAGCCGACGAUCGAUAGCUGGUCUGAGAGGAUGAUCAGCCACACUGGGACUGAGAUACGGCCCAGACUCCUACGGGAGGCAGCAGUGGGGAAUAUUGGACAAUGGGGGCAACCCUGAUCCAGCAAUGCCGCGUGAGUGAUGAAGGCCUUCGGUUGUAAG